GACGAACGCUGGCGGCGUGCUUAACACAUGCAAGUCGAACGGUGAAGCGCCUUCCUUUUUGGUGGGUGUGGAUGAGUGGCGAACGGGUGAGUAACACGUGAGUAACCUGCCCCCUUCUUCUGGAUAACCGCAUGAAAGUGUGGCUAAUACGGGAUAUUCUGGGUCUGUCGCAUGAUGGGUCUGGGAAAGAUAUUGUUUCGGUGGGGGAUGGGCUCGCGGCCUAUCAGCUUGUUGGUGGGGUGAUGGCCUACCAAGGCGGUGACGGGUAGCCGGCCUGAGAGGGUGGACGGUCACACUGGGACUGAGACACGGCCCAGACUCCUACGGGAGGCAGCAGGGGGGAAUAUUGCACAAUGGGCGAAAGCCUGAUGCAGCGACGCCGCGGGAGGGAUGGAGGCCUUCGGGUUGUGAACCUCUUUCGCCAGUGAAGCAGGCCUGCCUCGUUUGUGGGUGGGUUGACGGUAGCUGGAUAAGAAGCGCCGGCUAACUACGUG
rnacentral:rRNA from 1 species